GAGGACUUCUCAUAAACAGUUUCAAAAUACAAAUGCUCUGUUCAAAGCUAAGCAAAGCCAGAUUGACUUUAAAGUCAGAAAGUUCUGUUGCCCCCAGUUUUGUGUGUAGGGCACGCUUUGUGUGCUGGAGGUCAAGUUUUACCAGUGAUAAGGGGGACUUGACAAGGAAGAUCUCAAAGCAGGAAAGCAGAGCAUGGGUGCCCUAGAGGUCAUCAGUGGAGAGAUGGCCUUGAGAGGUCUUUAUCUAAGUGGACUUGCCACCAGGAGUCAAGCGGGAGCAAAUACACACUGCGUCUGCCAAAGGUCACGCACCUAUCGGGGCAGCUGACAAAACCAGGAUGGCUUCUAACUAUGGGAGUAAGCUGUCCUGCAAUGUAGGGAGGCAGUGCACUCUCUGUGGAAAAGGAUCUUGGUUUCCUGUUCAUGAGUGGGGCUAAGAGAAGUCACUCUAGCCUUCAACUGCAUCUGGAGGAUUCUUUACCACUAGUCCCAGCUGGGAAGGAUUCUUCACCACUGAGC
ensembl:lncRNA